UAGUCUGUUGGAUCCUUGCCUUAGCUCAUUCGGCCCUUCAUCACCCAAAUUGCUAGGUAUAUCUUUCCAGUCAUUUAUUCAUUGUAUGUAUCAUACCAGAGUGCUAGUAAACUGUCUGUGUGUUAUCCAAAUGCCGUAUUCCUGAAUCUUAUUUUGAGUUUGGCAGAUAGCCAGGGACAUCGGGUCCAUUACCAGCGUUAACACCUUUCUUUACCCCUUUCCCUUGGUCUAUCUUGCCUCACAUGGCGCAGCCGACAGGAUACCGCAAGUGAUUCUUCAGAUUUUUUACUUCUGGUUGAUACCGUAUUAUUUUUUUUGCAAGCACUUCGACUUUGAAGUCUUAUGCUUUUCACGUAGUUCGAAAGGCUUGUUGGGUUUAGGCUUAGCCUCGUCAUUCGAACGCAUUGCAUUGCAUUUUUAGAACAGUUCUAUCCCUUCGUAGCUUCUAGUUCACUUUUUGUCACGCAUUAAUUGCGUCUUUUUCGUUGCAUUUGUGCAUUUUUUUUUUCAGUUGUUCGCAAUUUCGAACGCGGUUCGAUGUUCGAGUUACGUUCAGCUGGUAACAGCUAUCUGGAGCAUGGUGCAGUAUUGUUUCUGUCUCUCGGUUUUCGUUGUGUCCUAACGACAGAUAUGGUAUUUUGAGUUUGUUCUUUCAUGGAAAGUCCAAAGGUGUUGAGACUUCUUUUGCGUCCAGCACAAUUGUUGUUUGAAGAGUGCGUCUUACGUAAUGUCACACUCCCAGAGAACGCUGGUCCUCGUCAAGCAGCAAUUCUCAUCAUGGAAGACGACGAAAGGAGGAAACUUGAAUCUACGAGUGAUAUUCCCACCAAAAACGACAACGAGGAAUACCAAACAUCAUCCGAAGAUCAGGAUGAACAAGUCUCAUCAACAAACAAAACAAGGCGAGGCAACGAAGACCAGUCUCACUUCUUACUACAUGUCUACUGGAUGUGACUGUCUCACUCUGAUCAAGCUGGCACGACAGAUCGAACCUUCUCAGAAACACCGUGAUCCAAAUUGGCGUCAACAAGGAGCCAAGCCAAAGUACUACACGAAGAAGGAACAUCAAUGUCAGCAAGGCUUUUCGUCCACAUCACAGCCUAAGUAUUCACCUCGACAAAAUGGUGAGCAACAUUCUCCUACUUCCACCAAAACAUCGGACAAAUGAAGCCAAAAAUACAAAGACACAAGGGACUACGCCAAACAUCAAGACAAAGACAAGAAACACAGCUACACUGCUUCAAUAAGACACGACUUACCAUCUAGACAACCUGUGAGACCCGUAAUUGAAAUUCUUGUAAACAACACACCGGCCGACGCUCUGGUUGACACGGGUGCAGACAUCUCAAUCUAAAAAAAAACAGGAAGCAGAGCUUUGGAGUAUUAACAUAAAACCAUGGAGUGAAUCAACAAUGAUCGCCGUCGAUAACGAGUCCAUGCCGUUCGGCAUGGAAAACUGCAUGCGAAACUGCAUUCAAACAAGCUCGAAUGCAUUGCUCUUCAUUGGGCACUCACAGACAAAUUUCGAAUUUAUGUGUACGGGUUGCCUAUCGGCCAUGUUUGAACAAACAACUACAGUGUCUCCUUAAUGACCAAUGCACAGGAAAUCAAUAGAAAAUUUGCUCGCAUGGUUCUCGAUCUUUAAGAACUUCCUCCGAAGAUACACCAUCGUCCGGGAAAAACCAAUGUUGUCGCUGAUACUCUAUCACGCAUCCCACAACCUUUGGUUGCGUCACUAAUUCUCACUGCCGGGAAUUAUCAUCUCUGCAAUCACCAACAGUCAGAUCCGUCGUCAUUAGAGAUUUUUGAAGUCCUCAAAAAUCCCAAUAUUUCUUCUCGCAAAGCUGAGAACAUGCGGAAUACAUUCAUGUUGUCAAAUGGCAGACUCUGCCACGAAACCACUCAACAAAACGGACUGACAAAAACAAGGAUUGUCAUACCAGAAUAUCUUAGGAAAAAGAUAUUGCUUAAGUUUCAUGAUAAACGUGGUCACAUGGACAAAUUCAAGACCAAAAGCAGUAUUCUGAGUAAAUACUGGUGGUCGUCCAUUAAUAAGGACGUCAAAGGGUUGUAACAUUUGUCAGCGCUUCAACAGACAAACAUCGAAGCCCGUGGGAUACUUACAUCCUCGACCAAUUCCCACACAACCUUUCACCACAAUAUCCCUCGAUCAUAUUGGUCCACUUCCGGAAACAGGAAAUGGAAACAAGUACAUCAUUGUAUGUGGUGACCACACUACACGAUUUGUAGUAACACAGGCUGUGAAAUCAACAUCGUCACAUAUCACACCGUUCAUUAAGGAAAAGAUCAACACAACUUUUCGUAUUCCUAUGACAAUUGUUUCUGACCAAGGUUCAGGUUUCAUGAGUCAGAACAUGGAAAGAUUCCUAACCACAACAGGAAUUGAACACACGACUUCUUGUCCUUAUUUCCAUCAGGCAAAUGGUCUUGUGGAAAGAUCUGUAGCCACCAUAAAGAGUAUUCUCAAAAAUAUUGCUUUGAGAAUUUUUCAAAAUGGGACCAAUACCAAGCACCACUUCUUUCAUAAACACUUCAAGACAAGGUUCUACUAGAUUUUCACCACUUGCGGUCAUUUUUCCUUUGCUUUUCACUUUGGGUUACUUCCACAUUUCAUAGUUACUCACGCACACAGCCACACUCAAACACACGCUUACAUUGUUGCUGUUUAGCAUUUCCCUACUACUGACCUCUUCAGAAAAACUUUCUACAUUUGGAAUUUAGUGUCUUAGUUCCGAAUUUAGUCACUUCUUCGCACUAUUUUGCUUCAUUUUCUUAUCACUGCAUGUACUGUUUAUGUACUGCAUGUUACAAUGCUAUUCAUGCUAUGCUGUGCUAUGCCAUGUACUACGCACUUUGUACUACGAACUUUCUACUUCAGUGUUAACAAAUUCACAAUGUGAUGUGAUGUAUGAUAUUCUACUACUACGUUUGAGGGUGGAUUGCUAAACUCUCUUAAAUCUAGGUUGUUCUGCAUUUCAGGACAAAAGAUGCUGCAUGCUUCUGCCAAGGGCCCUGGCAUGAAUCAUCUUCUCUCUUUUUUUAUCCUGUUUCAGAACAGCUUCGAUUUUAAACUGUUAAACUUCUGCAUUAACGCUAUGCUAACGUUUCGUUUUUCCUCACUGUAAGCUUAGCUCAAUUGGUAGAGCCCUGGACCGGCAAACCAGAAGAUGUGGGUUCGAGUCCUACAGCUGGCUAACCUUUUCAGUGACCUUCAUAUUUCAUCGUUAAUUUCUUAGGCAAAUUGAGGCUUUGUAUGUAUUUGUCCCUUCUAUGUUGUUCCAGCCUCAAAACAUCAGUUCUUUCAUGUUCAACAGUUGCCGCCUGCGUCGAUCCCGUCAUAUGAAUGUGUGUAUGAGUGAGCAAAAAUGUCAGAGUGAAAGGAGGAUGAGUGAGAGAGAGUGGCUGGUUUGUCCCUUCAGAUGACGCACCUUUGGAAGUCACUGAGAAGGCUGUUAGCUUAGCUCAAUUGGUAGAUCCCUGGACCGGCAAUCCAGAAGAUGUGGGUUCGAGUCCUACAGCUGGCUAACCUUCACCUGAUUGGCAUUACAAUUGGCACAUUUCCCUGCACAAUGGACUUUAAUAAAUAUAUGUCAACGUGUA